GUGCAUAUGAUGUAAAAUUAUUUGGGCUGAAUCUUUGUGAUGCAUUCAAAGGAACCACUGAUGCCA